UCUCUCUGUCUGUCACAACACAGAGACACCAUCCCCUGGAACACAGAGACACCAAAAGGUGGUGUCUCUGUGUUCCAGGGGUUGGUGACCC